ACGGGUGAGUAACGCGUAGGAAUAUACCUUGAAGCGGGGGAUAACAUGGGGAAACUCAUGCUAAUACCGCAUACACUCUAAGGAGGAAAGCUGGGGACCGCAAGGCCUGGCGCUUUAAGCAUAGCCUGCGUCUGAUUAGCUAGUUGGUAGGGUAAAGGCCUACCAAGGCGACGAUCAGUAGCUGGUCUGAGAGGAUGAUCAGCCACACUGGGACUGAGACACGGCCCAGACUCCUACGGGAGGCAGCAGUGGGGAAUAUUGGACAAUGGGGGGAACCCUGAUCCAGCAAUGCCGCGUGUGUGAAGAAGGCCUGAGGGUUGUAAAGCACUUUCAGUGGGGAGGAGGUUUGAUUGGUUAAGAGCUGAUUGAAUGGACGUUACCCACAGAAGAAGCACCGGCUAACUCUGUGCCAGCAGCCGCGGUAAUACAGAGGGUGCAAGCGUUAAUCGGAAUUACUGGGCGUAAAGGGUGCGUAGGUUGUUAGAUAAGUUAUCUGUAAAAUCCCCGGGCUUAACCUGGGCAGGUCAGAUAAGACUGUUUGACUCGAGUAUAGGAGAGGGUAGUGGAAUUUCCGGUGUA
rnacentral:rRNA from 1 species